ACGCGUGGAACCUUACCAGGUCUUGACAUCCCGUGACAACUCUGGAGACAGAGCGUUCCCCUUCGGGGGACAGAGUGACAGGUGGUGCAUGGUUGUCGUCAGCUCGUGUCGUGAGAUGUUGGGUUAAGUCCCGCAACGAGCGCAACCCUUGUUCUUAGUUGCCAGCAGGUUAAGCUGGGCACUCUAAGGUGACUGCCGGUGACAAACCGGAGGAAGGUGGGGAUGACGUCAAAUCAUCAUGCCCCUUAUGACCUGGGCUACACACGUGCUACAAUGGAUGGUACAAAGGGCAGCAAAGCGGCGACGCCUAGCAAAUCCCAUAAAACCAUUCUCAGUUCGGAUUGUAGGCUGCAACUCGCCUACAUGAAGCUGGAAUCGCUAGUAAUCGCGGAUCAGCAUGCCGCGGUGAAUACGUUCCCGGGCCUUGCACACACCGCCCGU
rnacentral:rRNA from 1 species